AAAGGGACGAAGGGAGGGAGGAAAGAAAAGAAAGAGAGGAGUUGGGGGAGAGGAACAAAGACAUAGUCUCCAGCUGCCUCCUGUUUUCAUCUUUUGUACAGAUGAUAUCUGGAGCUAUGACAACCAUGCUUUAAUCAUAAGAACCAACGAGAUAAGGGCCCAGAGGAUAAGGGUUGUGGAAGAAUGGUGGACAAAGUGCACCCAAAAGCCAGGCAUGGUGGCAUACUCUUCUGGUCCUAGCACUCUUCCCUGGGAAGCUGAGGCAGAAGGAGCCACAGCUCAAGCGCAGCCUGGGCAGUUGAGCAAUUGAGCAACUCAGAGAGAGUCUAUCUCACAAUAAAAAGUUAAAUAAGAAUGGGGAUAUAGCUCAAAGCAAAGAUUCUGUGUUCAAGUCCCAGUACCACCAAAAAAAACUUACCAAAACACAGGAGUAAAUUCUGUUGUUCUACAGAAUGGUGGUGGGAGUGGCUUCACAACAACCUGUAAUGUAUUUUUUGAAUAAUCAGAAAUGAGGAGCUCGAAGUUUCUAAACACACAAAGUAAUGAAAAAAGAUGGAAAUAUUAAUUACUCUUACUUGAUUGGUACAUAUUGUAUAUAUGUGUUGAAAGAGCACACUAAUGGUGGGUGUGGUGGUACAUGCUUGUAAUCCUAGCAUUCAGGAGACUGAGGCAGGAGAAUCACGGCAAGUUUUGAGGCCAACCUGGGCUAACUAGUGAGUUCAAGUCCAUCUUGAAUUACAUAGCAGAACCCUAUCUCAAGACAUAAAUAAACAAAUAACACAAAACAGAAAAACACUCUAAACUCCAUAAUUACAUACAAUUAUUAAUUUUUAAUAAUGUUUCAAUAUUGAGAUAGAACUGUAAACUACUCUGAUUUGAUAUACCCAGAGUCCUAAAAUAGAAAAAUUAUCAAAUCGUCUACCUUUGAAACUAUUGUUUUAAAAGUUAGUUAGCCUUAUUGGUUGAGCCUUUUGUUAGAUAAGUAUUCUGUUACUUGCAGCUAAAUCAUUCCCAACUGUGGUUGCUCCCUUGGAAAAUACAAAAAAACAAAAAAAACAAAAAACAAAAAAGCAUAUGGAGAGAUUUGUAAAUUGAUAAUUAUCGCAUCUUAUUAUUUUCUCUUUCCUUUUCCCAAUGUCUGAGCAUAAGCCAUCCUCUUCAUGGUCUUUCCAUGAGUCUCCUCCUUGCCAAUUUACUGAAAUGUCUUCAUUUGCUAGGUUAAACACCUUUCAGUGAUACAGGAAUACACUAGUGAGGUCAGUAAUUUUCCUUACUCUUUGAGGCUAAGAAAUAAAAGUUAGGAAAUAAAGCUUAGGAAAAUUCUACUGAGUUGCUGAGUCUUGUUGGAUGUUAGCCAACUCCUAAACUCUGGCAGUGGAUAUAUUAACCUAAAUAUACCCACAAGCGUAGCAGUGCAUCAACUCCCAAAACAUAAAUCUACUGUAAAUAGGUCACUCAUUCAAACAUGGCUCAUUUCUGGCUGACAAAUUUGCCACAAAGUUAAUAAGUCACACGCCUUCUGUUUGCUCAAACCACUGUCAAGGUCUUGUUUGGGGCCCAGGCAAAAGCAUGUUUAUAUAAUCAAAUGUUUUUGUAAAAUUGUUAAGAUGUUAGCCACAGUCAUUCACAGCCUCUGUCUCCUCCCUUUCCAGCAGCAUUUCUGUCAUACUUGCUCUUCUGUAUAGUGUAUUAAAGAGGCCAAGGACGAGUAGAGAUAGAGUUUGGGGUCUCCUUCUCAUGCUGCAAAAAUCCUCUGGUGAUCCAUCUACACUCAGCACUACAUGAUUCAGUUCAGCUGGUGUUGAAGUUGAACAACAGUUUUCAGUCCACCAUUACCACACAAAUUAGACCAUGUAGAAUUAGCAGGAACAAGAGUUGGCUUGUGCUUUUAUCACAUUCUAUAAGUCACAUUCAUUCACUAUUUCUGUUACCUCACUUAAUAUGCAAAUAGAAGAGAAUCAGCCAUGCUGGGACUUGGGGGACCAAUCAAGAAAUCAACUACCAACCUUCCUGGUAAGCUGUGCAAGCCACGCAUGCGUUCCAGGGAGAGAAAAGACAGCAACUCCCAUGAACCUACCAGAGUGGGCUGAGAAUCAAACACCAUCCAUAUCCCCAAUUCCUCUUAGCAACUGGAUAACCAAGGACAGUCUGAGUUGACAGCAACUAAGAUGAUCUCAACCUGGAUGAUACGUGGAUUCUGUCCGAAUGCCUUACAAAAAGUAUCAGAGACUCCUUCAUUCGGUAUUCUACUAUCUACAUCAUUAAAGUAGCAGAAUUUGUGUAUAGCUAUGAACUCUUUUGCACAUGAAAAUUUCCAAUUAAGCAGUUUUGUUUCCAAAACCCAAAAUUGUACAACAAUCCAAAUGUCCAUCAGUAGCUGAGUGGCUAAAUAUACUGUAAAAUACUGAAACAAUGGAAUAAUAAACAAUAAUUUCAAAAAGAAUUCAGCCCUAUCAUAGGUCUGAACAGGGGCAAAUCUCACUGACACACUGAUAAGGGAGGAAGCCAGACACAAAAAUGUACACAACUGUGUGGUUCCACUCUUGUGAAGUUAGAGAACAAAAAGAAAAAAAAAUGUGAAAGAAGACAGAUUUGUGAUGACUUAAGUUAGAUUAUUAGUUGGGAAAGACAUAAGAAAAGCAAGGAACCUUUGUAGAAUAUUGAAAGUAAUUUACAUCUUGAUCUAGACGGUUGCUGUGUGGGUAUGUGUGUAAAUUCAUCAAGUUUACACAUGACCCGAAUACUUCAAUAUUUAUGUAUUGUAUCUCGUUUUUAAAGUUUAAAUCUCUACUAAUAAGAUUCAUGUUAAUAUAUGAUUUUGGUGGGUUUUUCUAUCAGAAGAUGGUCUGAACUAUCUUCAUAAUGCUCUGACUUCUUUGGCAAGCUUGCAAAUGAUAUCUAGUUAUAGAUAAUCAAUCAGCAGGGAAUCUCAGUUCCUGAAGGAAGUCACAGCUGAGAAAUAUGUUUGUGGCAAGAAGAGUUUCCUUGAGAACCAGGCAGGGGGUUGCCAAUCACUAGCUUCUGUUUCAUUGUACCCUUAAAGUAAAAAUACAUCGCUUGGGGAGAAAAAAGUCAGUGAGCAACCAGAUAAGAUACUUUGAUUACUGCUGCCCUUGAUGGGUACAGAAAGACGUGAGUUGUUGCUAAGAUAUUUUAGAUACCAGGGAAAGCGAUUUAAAAGAUGAUGAGCAUCAGAGCAGAAUUAUUUUUUCUUCCUAAUCAGAUUUUAUUGGUACAUUUUAUAUAUUCAUAAGGAUCACAUUCAUCAUAGAAAAUUUGUACUUGUAUAAUAUAUAUAGCUUGUUUCUUUUCUCCCCCAUUUAUCUCUCCUCCCCUUAACCCCUCCUCUCCUCCGCAUUUACAGAGGCUUUGUUUCUAUUUUUUCCUUCUUUUCUCCUUUUUUUCACUUUUCCUUACUUUCCUUCCUCCUCUCCUUCCUUUUUUUCCCUCCCCAUUUGAACAUUCUCUUCCCAUUUCCCAAUACCUGUUAUACAUUUUGGUUCUUAUUUACACUUUUAGAUUCUCACAUCAGAGAAAUAAUGUAUUUACACAUUUGUGUCCAAUUUAUCUCACUUAAGAGUAUGGUCUCAGGGGCUGGGGAUUUAGCUCAGUGGUAUAAGCACCUACGUAACGAGCACAAGAUGUGAGUUUGAUCUCUUGUACAAAAAAAAAAAAGGUAUGGUCUCAAGGUGCAUCUGUUUACCUAGCAAUGUCUCCAAUUUUAUCCUUUUUGUGGCUGAGUAGUACUCGGUGUAUUAAAAAAAAAAUUUUUCUUUAUCCAUUCACCAGUUGAUUAUCAUUUGAGCUGUUUCCAAGAUUUGGCUAUUACAAACUGUGCCAUUAUAAACAUGGGUAUGCACAUGUGUAAGUGAAAGGAACCUCUAGUUCUAGUUUUUUGAGGAAUCUCCACACUAAUUUCCACAGUGAUUGCACCAAUGUAUACUCCCACCAAAAAUAAAGCAUAGUUCUUUUUUCCCCACAGCCCCACAGCAUUUGUUAGUGGAUCUGUUAUUGAUAUUAGCCAUUCUUUCUGGGGUGAAAAAAAUCUCAGCAUUGUUCUAAUGUGCAUCUCUCAAGUGACCAGUAACGCUGAAUAUUUUUUGAUACAUUUAUUUGUUGUUUGUACUUCUUUAUCUGAGAAAUGCCUAUUCAUUAGAGCAGAGUGUUUAAACACAAAGUAUAAUGUUCGAGUGGCUGUCAUGCUGACACAGAUUUAGAUGUGAAAUUGAGGAGGAACAAAAUGAUAGCUCUUGUCUUCAAAUUAUUCACUAACUGUUAUGUCAGCAAAGUAUCAGAACUGGAGGAAAUGAUCCCUGUUGCAUAUAAUAUCUGAAAAAAAAAAUCUUUUCAGUCACUUGGGGACCUAGGUGGCUAGAAAUAUCAAUCAUCAGCCCAUAUCAUGAAGCAUAUCAUGAUUGGCUCUUGACUAUAAUCAUGUUAGGAGAGCAGAUGGAAUGAACAGAUAACACUGGACCUGGUUUUCACAUCUUGGAAGAGUAGGAUAUUCUUCAAAAUUGGGUUUAUAAAGUGGCCUGACAAAGCCAGGGUGUAUUAUAGUGAGGAUGGGGUAUGAAGUUGUAUAUCUGGUUCAUAUUGCGGCCUAAGACAAGAUGUAAAAUAAAAUGCUACAUAAAAGUGAAGUAGAAAAAGAACUAACGCUUUCUAACUUAAAAGCUAUGCUUCAGCAUAUGUACUGUUUCAAAGGUUUUCAGGAUACCUUUCAGCAUUAAAAAGCAUUUUAAAAGUAUGUUAUUCAAGAGAUAAAAGAAAUGCAUAUUACUGUCUAUAUUAUGUUUCACUUUGAGUAUUUAGAAGGACUUUUUCUUUCAGAAGGAUUAAUUUUUGAAGAAAUUAAAGACAUCAACUUCUACUAAGCUAAUGUUAUCCAAUAGGUAUGAAAAUCCUGAGGCAUUACACUGUGACUUGGAAGCCAUGCAAAUUUCUGGAAAUCUCCCUUAAUCCAUCUCUUUAAAAGGAAUUCUUAAAGAAUUAGAAAUUAAUCUUGGUUUAGAAAAAAAAUCACAGGGGUAGCAUCCUCACAUAUGUAACUUUCAAAGCUACUGUAAGAAUAUCUGAGCUGUGGUAACCUUACCAAUAAGUGUAAAACAGAACUGUUUGCUUACUGUGGGGACCUGGGUCCAGUGUCCCGUACCAAAACACAAAAACAGAGCCAACUUUAAAUUCCACCAAGUCACUCCAAAAUACUUUUGAGUUUUGGAUUGAGCAAGCAACAAAAGUUAUAGACUGUCUACUUUGAAAAUCUUUUAAAACGGGAUCAACCCUUUAUUGCCUAUAACACCUUAGGCAGCACAUAUUUUUUGGUGUUAAGGACUCAUUUCAAGCCUUCCUUUUGAGAGUCAUUUUUUCAAAAUGCUCACACAACCAACAGAUGGCAGAAUUGGCUAUGUUAUUCUAUGAUUAAAUACAAAUCCCUACCCAUAUCAAGCAAAAUGAUAUUUUUAAAAAGCGAUGUGUAUUUCCCUAAGGAUAUGGAUAUCUUAAACACAGAGUGUGCAUUUCUCUUGUUCUUUUCUAUUUCAAUGUAUUACAUUUCUAAGACUCCUCAAAUUUUGCCGAAAAGGAGUCCUCGCUUUUGGACAGGAUUGAAAGGUGAUUGCAGGCUCAGUUCAAGAAAGGAUAGGGCAUGUGUGUUAGGUUGUUAACUCACUACACAUUUGACACCAAAGAAGAGGUUUGUUUCACACCAACCAGUUCUCCAACUCUCUGAACAAUUGGACAACUUCCAAGUCAACAGAAUUCUGACACUAUUUAGAGAUAGCAUCUGAUCCCACAGCUUAAAGGGCUCCAUCGCACACGACCACCAUUUCAGACACCAAUCACAAGCUCUGGGAUGCCCAUACUUCGGACCAAACAGCUAUAAAUUAGGAGUUUCCACGACCUCCUGCUCAGAUUCAACAAUUUGCUAGAACAUCUUGCAGAACCUAGAAAGGCAUUUUGCUUAUAAUUAUUGUUUUAUUGUGAAGCAUACAAUUCAGUAACAGCCAAAUGGAAGAGAUACAAAGCGAGAAAUCGAGGAGGAGCCAGGCGUGGAGGUCUUCUGUGGGAACUGCAUGUGUUUGCCAACUGCAUGUGUUUGACAUACUCUGAACUCUGUCAUUUUGGUGUUUUGGAGGAGGCUUCGUCAUAUAGGCAGGACUGAUUAUUAACUCAAUCACUAGUGCCUCUUCUCUCCCUGCUGGAUCUAAUUUCAAAAUAUGUCCAGGAUCCAAUUGCUUGUGCUGUGUGGCUUACUGUGGCACUUGUUCCUGACCUCCUCUUGAGGGCUGAUGUACCACCACCCAUCUGCUGAGAAUACUGGCUGUUGGAGGCCCACAAGCAUGUCCUUCAUGCAGGUUGCAUUAACUAUACUCUGCCUGAGGUGGCUGGUUUCCCACCUUCCUCAGCGCUCACAUCUUGGCUCUGCUUCUCUGCCAUGGAAUGGUAUCUCUUUCCCCUCAACCCAGUUGAAUAUUCCUCCCCUUCAAACUUAACGUGAAAACUCUCUCUUUCUUAAAGGCUUCUGCACACAUUAGCUUGUAUCAGAAAACUCAGCUACAUUCCCUUACCCAAAAAGACUAUUAUUUUUCUCACACCUCAAAAAGUCCACGGGAUGGCAUUCCAGGACUCCUACAGGUACUUAGAAAAAUUCCCAUGGACCAGGUGCUCCUAACUUUUAGUCUGACAUGCUCCACUGACCAAUGCCACAAACAGAGUUGCAAUAUGGUAUAAUGGUUACUAGCAAGCUUUGGGAUGAAGAUAGCCUGGAUUCAAAUCCCAAUUCUGCAACUUACCAUGUAUUAGUUCUGCAAACUUAAGUCAAAAUGCUUAACUGCUCUGUUCUUCAAUUUCCCCUUCUAUAAAAUGAAGAUUAUGUAAACUUUAUAUGGUUGCUAAAAAGAUUAAAUUAGAUUAAUCCUAAAAUUAAUUUUAAAACUCAAUUUGAUAAGAGUAUUUGGAAUAAUAAGCACUAUGUAAGUAACUGCUCCAUGAAUACAUGGCUUUCAUCUUCAGUUAAAACAGUGACAGAAUUGGACAAGCUGGAGCAUAUUCAUGAACUCAAAGGACAGGACAGUUGAAGUCAAAAUGGCUGAAAGCUAGAGAUCACUGUGGUUGAGAUCACAGGAGGACCCAGAGUCAUGUGCAUUAGAGCUGAAUUCCUAAGUUAAGGCUGCCCAGAUGUAGCUACUGGCUCUCCCUUUGUCCACUUUGUGUCCCUGGGCAAAGCACCAGAUCUGUCAAAGGCUGUUUUUUAUAUGCAAAGUUGGAAUUAAAGAAUCAGGACAGGGACUGGGUAAAGUUCAAUGGUAGGGCACUUGCCUAGCAUGUGCCAGACCCUGGGUUCAAUCCCAGCACCACCAAACAAAGACAAAACAUCCGGAUCACUGAUGGAGAGGCCAGUUAGACUUCCGGACCCUAGCAGAAGAUGGUGCAAGGGUACAGAAUGAGGCUUUGCCAUGAAUAUUGAUCUUAUCUUUGGAAUCCACUCAUUUUUAGACAGAUUGAAGCUGAGGCUAGGAAUUAGAACCAAGGUGAAAGGCAUUCCAGCUACAAAGUCAUGUAGCUCCUUGAGGCGCUGGGGAACCUAGUAAGGAGCCAGUAGUCCCUAUAUGAAGUUAUAACAGUGGACCCCUUAGAAAGGCAACAAAUGCACCUCUCCUAGGAAACAGUUACUUUAUUAUUUCUGAGAAGUGGCAUGCAGUGGACAUUUGUUAUCUCUGGAAGUUCAUUAGCUCUUAAGUCAUAAGAUAUGUAUUAUUGUGCCUGCCUGGCAGGCGCAAGGUCAUCAGACUGAUCCCUGGUACAAAAAAAAAAAAAAAGAUACGUAUUAUUGAACACACACAUGUGCACACACACACACACACAGGCAUGUACACAUGCACAUUUCCAGGAAACUGAGAUAUAAAAUAUCUUAGCCAACAGCAUAUAAUUAAUGGAAUUUGAAUCCUACUCUUUUAACUUUAAUUUUUUGACUGGUUACAUUUCAAACAAUUUUCUCUAAAAACCAAAUUUAGAAUAGUAGUCUAAGUUAUGUCAGUUUCCUGUAUUCUUUGUGGUAAUGCCUUCUUAUGAAAUACCGUUCCAUACAGAAAAACAGAGGACCUGGGCAGAAGAGGAGACCCCUUAAGUCCUAUCCUUCACUUGUCCCUAAACUUGUGAGAAGAUUCAGAUUCCACAUAUGUGUGGUAGAUGGUGUUGAACCAAGGAACAUUUUGAUAGAAAGUUGGCUUUAGCUUCAAAACUCCAAACAAAAGUAAGCCAUAUAAAGGAGCCCAGAGCCUAGUGAUAGGUUUUUUGGUGCGGCUAGGGAGACAGAAAAAUAUAAAGUAAAAGUGGCUUUUAUUUUUAAGGAUGCAGAGAGAAACUCCAUGACUGCUGGGGUCUGGGUUUCUCUGUCAGACAUGUGGGGGGGGGCAUAUAUAUAGCCUAAGGAACAUUACUGAUGCACAAGUAGCCCAUUGGAAUUAAUUUGGUGACAGGUAAAUUGCCUAGGGGCGGGAAAGAUGACCUCAAGGUAAAGCCCCUUGGUUCCACCUCCCACUGCUGUAGUAUCCUAUCUCGGGUAAAAUCCUUCCACCUAGAAAUAAAACAAGCCACACAGCCUCUGUGAACUUUCCUAAGUACCACCUGAAUUACAGCACUCAGUGGCAAGAUUAGUCCAAUAAAAAUCAAGGAUGAGAGUCUAAGAAGAGGAGAAGGACCUUGUGUGUGCACCAAUGUCCAGGACAGAGCCUCUCUGGGCAGCUAGCACCAGCCCACCUGUGAACGAGUACAGACCAUUAGAGUCACCCAGGCAGAUGGGGGACAGUGAAGGUGAACAAGCAAGAGAUGAUGAAAUAAGCUUAGGUCUCUCUCUUUCUCCCUCCAGAGGAAUAAUACCCCAAAAGACAGAAGGAGUAUUGUCCCAAAUCCAGCUCAUUUAAACUCCACUUCCAUUGUCUCACCCCUUAGAACGUAAGGCCAAGAACAUCCUGGCACCAUCUGUCCACAUGUCAUGCUGGCAUGUGUCCUCCGGGGACACAUCUUGGAGGGGGGUAAACAGAGCACCAUGAUUUCUCUUGGUCCACAAACCAACAUAUUUUAUUUUAUAUUCUUGAUGCCGAUAUUUCAGAACUUAGUGACAUUAUAUAGCAUAAAAUAAUGAAUGGCAACAUUUUUGUGGAAAGACUUUGAAAUGUUCCACACAUUGUCGCUUAAUAUUCCUUAUGAGCAGAUAUAAUCCAUGCUUCUGAAUGAAUUUAUAAUGCAAACCUUAAAAGGGUGGCAUGUAAGUUCCACAGACCUCAUUUUUACAACAGGGAAAGAUUAUUUUCAGGAAGGGAUUUUAAAGAUGUGAAUGCUAAGUGAGCAGUGCUUUAUAUUCAUGUGAAAUGGAAAUGUCUCCCAGUACUUGGGAAAUAGAGCAGUGGACCAGAGCUGGUUUUAAUUAUGUAAAAAUAAUUUGUUACAGUAAACUCAAACUGAAAAAUUGCCUCAGAGUUAAAAUAAAUUCAUCAGACUUUAAAGUUGGCAAAGACCAACCAUCUUACAUAAUGAUCAUUUAAACCAGUCAACAAACAUUUACUGAACAUCUAUUAUGUACUGGGAGCUCAACUACCAAAAAUCCUUUUUAGUAUUAAAAAGGUCAUAGUUUCUUAAAUGAUAGUAACUACACUUCUAGACUUUAAGAAAGAAAUGUGUGAAGUAAAAUUAACUACAAAUUUAACAAAACUUUAAAUACUUUGAUCAUUAUAAUAGCAUGUAUACCAAAGAUUAAUAAUAAAGACCAAUAAGAAGACAUGUUAUUUAUCCCAUUGUCAGAAAAUGCUUGAAGCACAAACAUUCCAAAUAUUCCUUGCAAAUAUACCAUACUUUCCUCUGUGUCUAAAGCGGGACACCUCUGAUUAGGUCAGUAAGUUCAUUUUACUGAACUUAUGUUUUACGAUGAUGAAAACUAGGGUCUAAUCUGACCUCAGAAGUGGGUAGGGGUAGCAUUAGAAGCUCAGCUCUGCACUCAGUGCCUAUUUAGUCACCUAUUUGGUUUUAUGUGGCAGGGAAUUCUGACUGUUCCCGUGAUUCAUUCUCUUCUGCCCUUCAUAUUUGAGCUGGGCACUAAAGCAACCAGGUAGAGACUAGAUUCUCCAGCCUCUCCGGCAGUUAGCCCUAACCAUGUGACUAUGGCCAUUAUAAGCAGAAUUGACGUGCAAUUUCCAGGCCAAAAUCCUGUAAAGAAAGCUGCUACCACACGCUUUUUUUUGAUAAUGCAGAUUAAGGCAGAACCCUCCAGGCAAAUGCAGUGAAUAGAAGGAGGCUAGUCCCUGGCUGCCCUCAAAGAGCAGAGCCACUCUGUACCCUCCACAUUUUCUUGUAGAUAAAAUGUGAAAGAGGAAGAAACUUCUAUUUUGACUUAGUUACUUUAUUUUGGGUGUGCUUUGUUGCAGAAGUUCAAUCUGAACCUGACAAAAAUCAUAUGAAAAACUCACAUAAAUGUCUAUGGCAAGAGGGUGGGGAAAUGGCAAACGACCCUUUUGCAAAUGAGCAGCUGGGCAUUGUGGUACAUGGCUGUAAUCCCAAUACUAAGCCAGCCUAAGUCACAUACUGUAUUUCACCACAAAUGAGCACUAACCAGAAAAUAAGCCCUAGCAUGAUAUUUUUUUAGGAUGCUUAUAAUACAAGCCCUAUCCCAAAAAUAAACCCCAGAUAAAACUGUCAGGCAGACACAUGGAUUUAAUAUGUCUAUUGCAACACACAAGGGGUGUCUUAAAUUCUAAAAUAUUAAUAUAUAAUUAAAUAUAAGUAAAUGUCACUGAUAUUAGUAUUUUAAAUAAAUAAUAAUAUAAAUUAGUAUUCAUAAAUACCCAAGCAGGAGCCUUUGGAAGAGAAAUAAACACCUACGUAAACAAAUGAAAUCAUUAUAGUACAGACACAAUGCAUGAGUAAUGGGUGUGCUUGGUGUUUGUUUGUUUCUUUCUUUCUUUUUGGUCCAGGGACUGAACUCACAAUUUCAUGCUUGCAAGGCAGACGCUAUGCUGCUGACCUAAAUCCCCAGCCCUGGGUGCACUUCAUAAUGAACAGACAUGGCUGUCUCUAAUAUGAAGCUUUAUAAUUCAAUAUGUCAUGUGUUGUAACAGAUGUACUUAAAGCACUUGUAUGAAAUAAACAUUUUCUGAAUUUUAACGCCUAUAAUUCUUUGUCCCUUUUUUGUGGACCAUCACUCUUAACUCAUCAUUUUUGUCGCCAGUCCUGUCUCUUAAGUCUUCAACAAACACUUGAUUUAAUGGAAACUUGGUGAAGCCCAACCUGCAAGAGAUUGUAACUUGGGUAAGAUUGUAUUCAUGGGAUAAAAUUACUGAUGGCCAAGUUGCCAAAGUGCUGCAAGCAGCCCACAGGGACAAGAAAGCUCUGUUUCUGGAUACAAGAGAGUGGGGCCAAUGGCUCUACAAGAAAUGGAGUCACAAGAAAUUUGGGCUGGGAUUUGAGAUCGCAUCUGGAGAGUUAUAAUUAUGUUCCAGAAGAAGACGAAAUGAGCAUAUCUGAAUAAAUUAAGACUUUUGUACAUGAAUAAGUGUAGAGUUUUGUACAUAAAAAAAGUAAGACCUGAAAAUAAGCUCUAUUGCAUCUUUUGAAACAAAGGUUAAUAUGAGACUUGGUCUUAUGUUUGGAGGAAAUGGCAGUGAGUUCAAGGCCAGCCUGAACUACAUAGCAAGGCCCUGUCUCAAAAACCAAAAAAUAAAAAAUGAGAAGGAUAUGAAUAUAGAUAUGGAUAUAUAUUUCAUCUGUGUUUAUGACUAAUUGCAUUACAUCUGACCUCAGUGAUCACAGAAGGAAAUUGGUUCUUGACUGUGGGAGCUAGGCUUCUGGGACACACCACUGUGUAGUGCUCUCCCAUAUCAUAUCAGGGUUGGUCUAUGUGACCAAAAGAAUACGACAUAAUUGGUGGUGUUAACUCCUGAGGAUAGGCUGUUGGAGUACUCUCAAAGUCUGACUUCCUCUCUUUUUGGUACAUCCUUUCUGGGAAGGCAGAUGCCAUGUCAUGUGGACAUUCAGGCAGCCAUAUAAAGAGGCCCAUCUGGGCAGGAACUCAAGCUCUCCAGUUGGUCAACAAGCAUCUGAGAUAAGCAUGAAGAUAAAUCUUCCAACCUCAGCAACUGCAGACCCAGAACAUACAUGUAAGACUCAUGCAACCACCUUGAGAAUGUACUGUCACUAUGGAAAA